rnacentral:rRNA from 1 species
CGUAGGUGCGAGCGUUAAUCGGAAUUACUGGGCGUAAAGCGGGCGCAGACGGUUACUUAAGCAGGAUGUGAAAAUCCCCGGGCGUCAACCUGGGAACGUGCGUUCUUGAACUGGGUGGACUAGAGUGUGUCAGAGGGAGGUAGAAUUCCACGUGUAGCAGUGAAAUGCGUAGAGAUGUGGAGGAAUACCGAUGGCGAAGGCAGCCUCCUGGGAUAACACUGACGUUCAUGCCCGAAAGCGUGGGUAGCAAACAGGAUU